rnacentral:rRNA from 1 species
AAGACGACCACGUUGAUAGGCCGGGUGUGGAAGAGCGGCAACGCUUGAAGCUUACCGGUACUAAUAGUUCGAUCGGCUUGAUCGUUCUCAUU